UAGUCAGGAACGCACAAUACAGAUUCAUUUCUAUAUUAAUUUCUUCUUAUUACUGCACUAAAUAAUACUUCGAAGUAGAAGUCCUCCAUGGGGUUAAUAAAGUGAACAGAAGAGUCUGCUUCUCCUCCCGGUUACCCAACCACCCACGGCGUCACCGGAACUGCGGGAAUGUGCCUGUGAACCCAAACGUACGGGUGGCUGCGGCUUUCGGCACGAGGCCUCGCCUGACAGCCGAAUUCAUUUACACCUCACAAAGUCGCACGGCGGUUCUGGAGACUCCGUCACGCCGGGGGCUAUGGUGCCGGCUGCGGUACCGCGUCGCGUCUGAAGUGUGGCUCCAGCGGAUGGGGAGAGGACUUCCAGGGCAGGGAAAACGGCAUUCCUGCGGAAGACUGACGGCUUAAUAACCGCAUCAACGGAGCGUCGCAUCAAUCUCGCGCAGGCCGAACACAAGCGCUGCAGCGAAAGAUGAUUUCAGUCAUUUUCAGUUUUCUAUCACUUUCCUGUCCUCCGUGACAGACCUCCUCCGAGUCUCGUCCU